rnacentral:rRNA from 1 species
AUUGAACGCUGGCGGCAGGCCUAACACAUGCAAGUCGAGCGAGCGGCGGACGGGUGAGUAUAGUAUGGGGAUCUGCGCGAUCGAGGGGGAUAAUUACUGGUAACGGUGCCUAAUACAGCAUACUAUCGGAUGAAUCCAGAUGGGAUUAGCUAGUAGGUGGGGUAAGGGCUCACAUAGGCGACGAUCUCUAUCUGGUCUGAGAGGAUGAUCAGCCACACUGGGACUGAGACACGGCCCCGACUCCUACGGGAGGCAGCAGUGGGGGAUAUUGCACAAUGGGCGAAAGCCUGAUGCAGCCAUGCCGCGUGUAUGAAGAAGGCUUUAGGGUUGUAAAGUACUUUCAGCGGGGAGGCGUUACCCGCAGAAGAAGCACCGGCUAACUCCGUGCCAGCCGCCGCGGUAAUUC